rnacentral:rRNA from 1 species
UACGUAGGGUGCGAGCGUUAAUCGGAAUUACUGGGCGUAAAGUGUGCGCAGGCGGCCAUGCAAGUCGAGUGUGAAAGCCCCGGGCUUAACUUGGGAAUUGCGGUCGAAACUACGUGGCUGGAGUGUGGCAGAGGAAGGUGGAAUUCCACGUGUAGCGGUGAAAUGCGUAGAGAUGUGGAGGAACACCAAUGGCGAAGGCAGCCUUCUGGGCCAACACUGACGCUCAUGCACGAAAGCGUGGGGAGCAAACAGG